rnacentral:lncRNA from 1 species
GUGGUAAAAUUUCAACUUUAUUUGGCCAAUGUGUUCAAUUCGAUUGUGAAAUAGAAAUGCCUGAAGAACUGUCAGCGUCUGAUUCAGCUCCAGCAUCCUUGGCCACCUCCCCACCCGGGAGUCAAGGGUCGUGGUUCUGCCUUGAACAGGCCACAGGCCGUGCUGUAGAGAGGCCUGGCCAAGGUGGAACAAAUACCCUGAUGUCGAAAAAUGUCUAAAAAUCCCACAGACGGAAUUUUCAAAAAGAGGAGAAACCUCCCGCGGGAGGGAGGCAGCGAGACUCCGAACACGGUAGCAAGCACUCUGGACAGACUCAUGUAUGAAAAAGUACAUCAUGGUUUCAGGAAACAAGCCCCACCAGGGUGGGCUGCCUGGAGAUGGAUCCCUUUCCAAAAACCGAAAAGCAGAAGGAAGAGACGGGGGUGAACGGACGGUGUGUAGGGGUGAGGUGUCACUUCAGAGAGGUUCCCUGGGUUUCCGGCGACGCCCUCCUUCAAGCGAGGCCGCAGGCUUCGGAGGCGUGCGCUGCUGC